GUCUACGGCCGUGCCACCCUGAACACCCCCGACCUCGUCUCAUUUCAGAAGCUAAGCAGGGUCGGGCCUGGCUAGUAUUUGCGUAAGAAAGUAGGAGGGUCCCCACGCCAGAGGGAGGCC
ensembl:rRNA 5S_rRNA 5S ribosomal RNA